UAACACGUGGGGAACCUGCCCCAUAGUCUGGGAUACCACUUGGAAACAGGUGCUAAUACCGGAUAAGAAAGCAGAUCGCAUGAUCAGCUUUUAAAAGGCGGCGUAAGCUGUCGCUAUGGGAUGGCCCCGCGGUGCAUUAGUUAGUUGGUAAGGUAAAGGCUUACCAAGGCGAUGAUGCAUAGCCGAGUUGAGAGACUGAUCGGCCACAUUGGGACUGAGACACGGCCCAAACUCCUACGGGAGGCAGCAGCC
rnacentral:rRNA from 1 species